GACGAACGCUGGCGGCGUGCUUAACACAUGCAAGUCGAACGAUGACGACCGAGCUUGCUCGGUCUGAUUAGUGGCGAACGGGUGAGUAACACGUGAGCAACCUGCCCUUCACUCUGGGAUAACCUCGGGAAAUCGGGGCUAAUACCGGAUAUGAGCUCCUGUCGCAUGGCGGGGGUUGGAAAGUUUUUCGGUGGAGGAUGGGCUCGCGGCCUAUCAGUUUGUUGGUGAGGUAGUGGCUCACCAAGGCGAUGACGGGUAGCCGGCCUGAGAGGGGGACCGGCCACACUGGGACUGAGACACGGCCCAGACUCCUACGGGAGGCAGCAGUGGGGAAUAUUGCACAAUGGGCGAAAGCCUGAUGCAGCGACGCCGCGUGCGGGAUGACGGCCUUCGGGUUGUAAACCGCUUUCAGCAGGGAAGAAGCGAAAGUGACGGUACCUGCAGAAGAAGCGCCGGCUAACUACGUG
rnacentral:rRNA from 1 species